GACGAACGCUGGCGGCGUGCCUAAUACAUGCAAGUAGGACGCCGUUUCGAACGGGUGAGUAACGCGUAGGUAACUCCCUAUUAGAGGGGGAUAACUAUUGGAAACGAUAGCUAAUACCGCAUACUAGUAGAUGGACCUGCUUUGUAUUAGCUAGUAGGUAGGGUAAUUGCCUACGUAGGCGACGAUACAUAGCCGACAUGAGAGGGUGGUCAGCCCCACUGUGACGGAGACACGGCCCAGACGCAUACGGGAGGCAGCAGUAGGGAAGCUUCGGCCAUGUGUGGAACCCUGACCGAGCAACGCCGCGUGAAUGAAGAAGUUUUUCGGAACGUUAAGAUCGGUUGUUAAGAAAGCGGUACAUAACCAGAGAGGGACGGCUGACGCCGUGCCAGCAGCCGCGGUAAUAC
rnacentral:rRNA from 1 species